CACGGGUUUUACCUCAGUACGGCGAGUGAAGCGGUAAAAGCUCAAAUUUGAAAUCUGGCUCUUUCAGAGUCCGAGUUGUAAUUUGUAGAAGAUGCUUCGGGUGUGGUUCCGGUCUAAGUUCCUUGGAACAGGACGUCAUAGAGGGUGAGAAUCCCGUAUGUGACUGGAUACCUAUGCUCAUGUGAAGCUCUUUCGACGAGUCGAGUUGUUUGGGAAUGCAGCUCAAAAUGGGUGGUAUAUUUCAUCUAAAGCUAAAUAUUGGCCAGAGACCGAUAGCGCACAAGUAGAGUGAUCGAAAGAUGAAAAGCACUUUGGAAAGAGAGUUAAACAGUACGUGAAAUUGUUGAAAGGGAAGCGCUUGCAAUCAGACUUGCACUUGGUGUUCAUCAGGGUUUCGUGCCCUGUGUACUUCAUCAAGUUCAGGCCAGCAUCAGUUUGAGUGGUUAGAUAAAGGCUUGGAGAACGUGGCCCUCUUCGGGGGGUGUUAUAGCUCCAGGUGCAAUGUAGCCUACUUGGACUGAGGACCGCGCUUCGGCUAGGAUGCUGGCGUAAUGGUUGUAAGCGACCCGUCUUGAA
rnacentral:rRNA from 1 species